UUUUUAAAAAAAUGGCUGCCAGCAAGUUAUGGGUUUAUCUCAUACAUGUGAGAGUACUCCAAUAAAUCAGUUUGCCUGCAGUAGUCAUAGAGUAUGAGGUUUUUAUAAUCAUGAAAUAAGCCCCAUAGCCCACUGCUGUUUUCAGAAGAUUGAACAUCACUGAGUAUUAUGCUCUUUGUAUGGGUGUGUGGGCGUCUCAUUUUUCAGGGGCUAGUGUUACAUUUAGCUAUGCUGUCAGCAUGUAUCUUGUACAACAGUAAUGCUUUCUACAAGUGAAGAAACAUCAGGGAGUUUUUUCAACUCGUGCCUUCUUCACUAUGAAAGAAUGAAGUUCACUUCAGGUCUUGUGAGCUGUGAAUACAUAGGAACAUGUUAACAAAAGACAAGGUCAGCAAGACCUUCAGGAAGUACCACAGCAACUGAGGACAUGAGGAGUUCUUCUAGGAAAGUUUGCUGAAGGACACAGCAAAAAACAAUUCAUGGAGCAGCUGCAGAUGGUGGCGCACCACUUGUGGGCUUGAAAAAUGAGCACUGACUGGUGGGACUGCAUGGUAAUGCAAGCUUGGGAUGAUGAGCAGUGGCUGUAGAACUUUUGGAUGUGAAAGUCCACAUUCCUGGAUCUGUGUGCUGAGCUUGCCCAAGCCCUCCAGAGCAGGGAUACCAGAAUAAAAGCUGCCUUGACAAUGAAGAAGUGAGUGGCAAUUGCAUUCUGGAAGUUUGCAAUGGCAGAUUGCUACCAGUCAGUGGGAAAUCAUUUUGGAGUUGGAAGAUCCACAGUAAGGGGCUAUUGUCAUGCAAGUGUGUAGGGCCAUUAAUUAUCUCCUGCUAUGCGGGACUGAGACACUUGCAGGAAACAAUGCAUGGAUUUGCAGCAACUGGGCUUCCUAACUGUGGUGGAGUGAUAGAAGACAUGCAUAUCCCUAUUUUGGCAUCAGCCUACCUUGCCACACAGUACAUCAACAGAUGCAUGUUUCUGUGGUUAUGCAAACAUUGGAGGAUCACAUGGGAUGCUUCACUGAUAUCAAUACGGGCUGGUCAGGGAAAGGGCAUGCCACUAGCAUCUCUAAGAACACAGGACUGUUCAGAAAAUUGCAAGAGGGGAUAUUCUUUCCCAACUGGCAGAUUAUCAUUGGUGAUGUUGAAAUGGCAAUAGAGACUUUGGGAGACCCAACCUACCCAUUGCUCUCCUGGCUCAUAAAGUUGUACCCUGGCCACUUUGACAGCUGAUAUGAUUUUGGUAGAUUGAAGGAAACUGGUAGUAUUUACUCACAAGAUUGGAUCUCAGUGAGAAAAAUAUCCCAGGGUUUAUAGCACCUGUUGUGUCCUGCAUAAUAUCUGUGAGGCAAAGGGGGAGAAGCUGCUACCAGAUUGGAGGGUGAGCAGCUGUCUGCUGAACUUGAACAGUCAUGGCAAGAGCCCAGUGUGGAGCUAUGCAGUUGAGGGAGGUGCUGAAAGGCCACUUUAACCACCAGCCACAGUUGAGUUUGCUGCUGGAGUGUUAUCUGGUCCUGGAGCUUCGUGGGUUGCUAAGAAUUGUAUAGUGCUCACUGUACAUUUAUAAAUGUGACUAGGUGUUUUCCUGAAGUUAUGAAUUCUGUGGUGUUUGCUGUGCAUUUAGAGUACUGUUUGCUUUGACUUCUGCUAUGCAUUCUGCAAUAUUUGCUGUGAACUAAUAAAGAUAAUUUGAUUCUCCAAAAA